rnacentral:tRNA from 1 species
GGUGGCUUAGUGGUAGAGUGCUUGCCUUACAUGCAUGAAAUCCUGGGUUCAAGUCCUCGGUACCA